rnacentral:ncRNA from 4 species
UACGGAGGGUCCGAGCGUUAAUCGGAAUUACUGGGCGUAAAGCGUGCGCAGGCGGUUUGUUAAGCGAGAUGUGAAAGCCCUGGGCUCAACCUAGGAAUAGCAUUUCGAACUGGCGAACUAGAGUCUUGUAGAGGGGGGUAGAAUUCCAGGUGUAGCGGUGAAAUGCGUAGAGAUCUGGAGGAAUACCGGUGGCGAAGGCGGCCCCCUGGACAAAGACUGACGCUCAUGCACGAAAGCGUGGGGAGCAAACAGG